rnacentral:rRNA from 1 species
AUGAUCCAUCUCUUACCAUCUGCCCCCCUCAUGAAGAUUUUAGUUCAAUCUUCGGAGGGUUUUGCGACUCCACUUGCUUCAGGGCAACAAAACCAUGUAGCAGGGCUGCAGAGGCAAUCCUCAGAGGGUUUUGCGACUCCGCUUGCUGGAGGGCAACACCACCAUGUAGCAGGGCUGCAGAGGCAAUCCUCGGAGGGGUUUUGCGACUUCGCUUGCUGGAGGGCAACACCACCAUGUAGCAGGGCUGCAGAGGCAAUCCUCGGAGGGUUUUGCGACUUCGCUUGCUGGAGGGCAACACCACCAUGUAGCAGGGCUGCAGAGGCAAUCCUCGGAGGGUUUUGCGACUCCGCUUGCUGGAGGGCAACACCACCAUGUAGCAGGGCUGCAGAGACAAUUUUCAGAGGUUGA